rnacentral:tRNA from 1 species
ACUUAAAUAGUUUAAUUAAAACGUUAAUUUGUGGUGUUAAAGAUGUAAUAAUUAUUACUUUAAGUA